rnacentral:rRNA from 1 species
AUACGUAGGGGGCGAGCGUUGUCCGGAAUGAUUGGGCGUAAAGGGCGCGUAGGCGGCUUUGCAAGUCAGUAGUGGAAGUCCAUUUUUCAAGGAUGGAAGUGCUACAGAAACUGCGGAGCUUGAGUGCAGGAGAGGUUAUCGGAAUUCCCGGUGUAGCGGUGAAAUGUGUAGAGAUCGGGAGGACCACCAGUGGCGAAGGCGGGUAACUGGACUGCAACUGACGCUGAGGCGCGAAAGUGUGGGGAGCAAACAGGAUUAGAUACCCUGGUAGUCCACACUGUAAACGAUGAAUGCUAGGUGUAGGAGGUAUCGACCCCUUCUGUGCCGCAGUAAACACAGUAAGCAUUCCGCCUGGGGAGUACGGUCGCAAGAUUAAAACUCAAAGGAAUUGACGGGG